AAGGAUAACAAGAAUAGUUCGUCAUGUUAGGAGAGCAAGAUCGUUAUGAGAGACAGGUAUCUGAAUUUGCUCAGCUAUCACAACAGCAUAAUUCUUCAAUUCAGUUCAAAAUCUGACCUUGGUGCAGAGACAAGCCACAAUAUAACAAGGACUUCCAAAUGUGUUGCCGAAGACACAUGAGAUGUUUUUUUGAACAAUGGCCGCCUGGUUAAGGGUUACUGGCUAGAAUGUGAACCUCCCACAUGUUUCGUGGAUAUCAUGCUAAUGCAGUGUCUGAUCUAAAAUAAUCGUCUUAUAAGGUGUUUUUUGAAUUUCUUCUUGCAAAUGGAGGCUCUUAGGCAGUGAAAUUAACAUG